CGGGUGAGUAACGCGUAGAAGUCUGCCUGGUAGUGGGGGAUAGCCCAGAGAAAUUUGGAUUAAUACCGCAUACGCCCUACGGGGGAAAGCAGGGGACCUUCGGGCCUUGCGCUAUCAGAUGAGUCUGCGUCGGAUUAGCUUGUUGGUGAGGUAAUGGCUCACCAAGGCGACGAUCCGUAGCUGGUCUGAGAGGAUGAUCAGCCACACUGGGACUGAGACACGGCCCAG
rnacentral:rRNA from 1 species